AGGACUAACGCUGGCGGCGUGCCUAACACAUGCAAGUCGAACGAAGUAGCAAUACUUAGUGGCAGACGGGUGAGUAACACGUAGUCAACCUGCCCUUCAAUGGGGGAUAACUAGCCGAAAGGUUAGCUAAUACCGCAUACGAUCUCUGAGUGGCAUCACUCGGCGAUGAAAGGAGUAAUCCGUUGAAGGAGGGGACUGCGUCCCAUUAGUUAGUUGGUGGGGUAAUGGCCUACCAAGACUCCGAUGGGUAGCUGGCUUGAGAGAGCGACCAGCCACACUGGAACUGAGACACGGUCCAGACUCCUACGGGAGGCAGCAGUGAGGAAUUUUCCGCAAUGGGGGAAACCCUGACGGAGCGACGCCGCGUGUGGGAAGAAGGCCUUCGGGUCGUAAACCACGUGUCGGAGGGGGACGAUAUUGACGGUACCCUGGAGGAAGCCCCGGCUAACUACGCGCCAGCAGCCGC
rnacentral:rRNA from 1 species